CCGAGAAUAUUCGACAAUGGGCGAAAGCCUGAUCGAGCGACGCCGCGUGAUUGAUGAAGUCCUUCGGGACGUAAAGAUCUUUUAUGAACGAAGAAGUCAUUGACAUUAGUUCAUGAAUAAGAGGUUGCUAAACUCGUGCCAGCAGCAGCGGUGAUACGAGUACCUCAAGCGUUAUCCGGAAUCACUGGGCGUAAAGGGUGCGUAGGCGGUCAUGUUAGUCUUCUGUCAAAUUCUUCGGCUUAACCGGGGUACCGCAGAGGAAACGGCAUGACUUGAGGAUGUAAGGGGUAUAUGGAACUCUCAGUGUAGGGGUGAAAUCCGUUGAUAUUGAGGGGAACACCAAAAGCGAAGGCAAUAUACUGGUACAUUUCUGACGUUGAAGCACGAAAGCGUGGGUAGC
rnacentral:rRNA from 1 species